UAAAUUGAUGUUGAUACACUAAGCUGGCCUUUAUCUUGCAGGUCCAAUGAGUACUGCAGAUUAACUAAAAAUUCAAAGUCCAGAACCGUAAAUGGAACUAGAACACCAACGGCAUUUAAUUUGUGAUAGAAAGUAGACAUUGUAUGGCCUAUUUUAAUACAAAUAUGAUACCACUGCAGCUUUAGAAGCCUAAUAGUGUCAGGCAGAUCAAGUAGAUUGCAUGUGAGUGAGACACAUUCUAUUCCUGGAAAGGUCAGUAUCUCUGACAUUGUGAGAGGAUCAUCUUAUGAGUAUUGGACACUGAUACAUCUGUCUGUUACCAGUCCAUCUGUCCAUGACUACAGGGGAAAGCAAAAAGCAUUUACUACAUACCUUGAGAGGGAAAUAAGCAGCAUGAACUAAGGAGGAUAACCUGAAAGGAGAUGUAUUUUGUACACAACAGGACAAGCUAAGUCAUCAGUCCUUUGUAUAACAAAACUUGUAGACAAAGAUUAUAACAGGACAAUGAUAAUAACAGGAGUUAUUAUCCAAAGAUUUAUUCAAACCUA
rnacentral:lncRNA from 1 species